GACGAACGCUGGCGGCGUGCCUAAUACAUGCAAGUGGGACGCAAGGGAACACACUGUGCUUGCACACCGUGUUUUCUUGAGUCGCGAACGGGUGAGUAACGCGUAGGUAACCUGCCUAUUAGCGGGGGAUAACUAUUGGAAACAAUAGCUAAUACCGCAUAAUAUUAAUUAUUGCAUGAUAAUUGAUUGAAAGAUGCAAGCGCAUCACUAGUAGAUGGACCUGCGUUGUAUUAGCUAGUUGGUAAGGUAAGAGCUUACCAAGGCGACGAUACAUAGCCGACCUGAGAGGGUGAUCGGCCACACUGGGACUGAGACACGGCCCAGACUCCUACGGGAGGCAGCAGUAGGGAAUCUUCGGCAAUGGACGAAAGUCUGACCGAGCAACGCCGCGUGAGUGAAGAAGGUUUUCGGAUCGUAAAGCUCUGUUGUAAGUCAAGAACGUGUGUGAGAGUGGAAAGUCCACACAGUGACGUAGCUACCAGAAAGGACGC
rnacentral:rRNA from 1 species